AGUUUUUGACUCAUAGAAGGUGCUUAGGCAAAUCCGGGCACGUAAUUCAAGGGGUUGAGACGAGGAACUUAGGUUCUGAAGCAAUCGGAAGUGGUUCCAAGAAAAGCCUCUAAGCUUCAGUCAUACGAGACCGUACCGCAAACCGACACAGGUGGGCGAGAUGAGUAUUCUAAGGCGCUUGAGAGAACUCGGGAGAAGGAACUCGGCAAAUUGGUACCGUAACUUCGGGAUAAGGUACGCCCUAGUAGUUUGA
rnacentral:rRNA from 1 species